GUCUAGCUGCUGGCGCAGGCUCCGGCAUCAGGAACAUUUCUAAUCUAGUGACAUUUGCCCGCUCCACCCUAGAAAAGGUGCUUGUUUUCAUUACCAGGCAGCUUUGUAAAACACAGCUGCCUUUGCUGUUCAGCAAGCCUUAUGCUCCCAGGAAGGUAGUUUGCUAAGAGUAACCCCUAUGCUACGUUAAGAAUGGGAUGACCCAGAAAGGGGUGGAGUCUGAAAAGAAGCAGAAUCUGCAGCAACCCAUGAGCUUGGAGG